UGGCGGACUAAUUUAAAGUGUCGUCGUCACUGUGUUCUCUGUGUUCGCGUGUUUUUUUCUUCUGUUUUGUAAAUUAACUUUUCACCAACGAACUCAACUUCAAACUCUACUUGAAGCAUAAAAGCGUCAGUGUUUCCGUUUUCAUCAGAACAAACACAGAGAAAAAACCAUCACAUUAACUAACAAGGAAUCCACGGCGGGGAAAGGGCAGACGGGCGAACGGCGUUCACGUAAUGAAAAAGGAGGAGCGAGGCUGAGGAGGAGACGACGGCGUCUUUGUAACACAUUUGGCCCGAGAGGACAGUGUAGGAUGAAGGAGAAAUGAGGAGAAAACAUGCAGCACCUGAACCUGGAUCAGGGGAGGUCUGGUCUGGUGCCCUGAUACGAAUUUGUUUCAGGUGCGUUAAGGAAGGAAUUCGAUUUUGGUGAUGAUCUGGAGUCAGUUGUUUCUCACUCCUUUGUUAUUUACUCCACCCACAUGUUUGCUGAUGACACCGUCAUUUAAGUAUUUACAUGACUUUAAGAAAUGUUUAUAUCUACUGUAUAUGCAAUACUGUGCGAAAGACUUAGGCAGUCAGGCUAUCAUAACCAAACUGUAUUAUUGUUUCUUUAUUCACUUUAUUCUAAAACACCCAGAAAAUACAGGAAACGUGUAACAUGUACGCAGUUUUAGAAUAACCAGUCUUUUCCACAUAUUCAGUUUUACACUUGACAGCGUGUCCCUGACUCUCUUUAACCUGCAGUGGAAACGUAAUUAAUGUUAAUAUUAGUGUUUGUGGACAAAUAUCUGCUGGGAAAAUGGUCUAUUACACCAUCACAUAUACAGUGUAUAUACAGUAGAUAUAUAUAUAUAUAUAUAUAUAUAUAUAUAUGCUAAUCUCAGGGAUGGACAUUUCUUGCAAAAAUGCUUUUUUAAAUAUUAAAGUUAAAGCUUCAUGAUGCAUUCAAGAAACCUCGUAAAGUUCAUCUGCAAACACACAUGAAUUUCACUCACUAAGUACUUGUUACUAUGCAACACAUGUAAAGUUCGUCAUUGCACGUUUGCCUUGUUCACAGAAAUACUUCCUGACAUCCCAGAAUUCCUGCUGCUCUGGCAACAGCGGUGAAUAAUGUUCACAAAAGGGAAAUAUUUGUGUUUGGUCUGUGCCUGCAGCUUUGAGAUGCAUUCAAGAAACCUUGUAUAUUCUAUCACAUAUAACACAUUUAUGACAAUGUGGGGUAAAAAUGUUUGUUUUUAUAAAUACGUUCAGUCAUUGAUAAAAGUUUUUUUUUUUAGUUAAAUCUUUGUAAUAUAUUUUGAAUAGACACAGUAACUGACUUUUUAUAAUCAAGCAAAUUAUCUAAUACUCGUGCUCAUCCCUAAUCUCAGUCAGUCCUCUCCUCUUCUCUCCUUUUCCUCCUCCCUUCCUCUCCUCUUCAUCUCCUCUCCUCCUCUGUCUCCUUCACUAACCCUCCCUCUGAUCCGAGAGGAAAGCUUUCAUUAUUUGCAGAGAUUGGACUCUCAAUUCCCGCGACCCUGACCCAAGUUUGUAGUUCUCCACCAUCAUAUUGGUGGAGAUCUCUCUCUCUCUCUCUCUCUCCCUCCCUCAUGCUCCAUCAUGUCUUAUCUCUCUCUCUCUCUCUCUCUCUCUCGUUGCUGAGUCAGAUUCAUUUUAAUCUUAAUCCUGCGGUGAAAACGUAAGACGCUAAAGUUUUGAACAUGAAGGAGAAACUUGGUUUAUUUUGUCCGUUUCUUUUCAUUUUCUUUCCUUUUAUCUGCUGCGUUUUCUCUCACUUUCUCCGACUCUGGUGUUUAUUUACAUCUAAACCGAAGCCUUCAUUUUCCCCAGAGACACAAACACGGGCCUAUGUUGUGUUUAUUUGGCUCUUUAUCCCCAUACUAUGACUUUUAGAUCACUUUCUACAUCUACAUACUUGUAUGUUACUUCGAAUAAGAAGCACAAAUGUAUUUAGGAAAAUAAUUUGAUAACAUUCUCUUUUAACUUAUUUUACAAACAUACUUGGAUUAUGUGACUAUAUUAUUACAUGCUCAUACACUGAAACAUGGUGGUCACUUUCUGUUUGUUUGUAAGAGCUCAUGAUCUCAAUGAUCUCAAAUCUGAAAUUCUCCUUUUGUUUAAACUCGAGUGUAAAAACGUCCACGGAGAAGCUGCAGAAUUGAGGGAAUCACUCGUUCAGCAGAUGAUAAUAGAAUCGCUUCAUUCACCAAACUGGAAAAUGACUUCUUUUUCUGUUUAUUGUUGUGUUUUUGUUGCAGAGUGAGAGUAAAAAUAUAGGCCAGGCGUCUUCUUCUUUUAAUUGAUCUAUUUUUCAUCUUCCUCCCUGAGGAUCCGUUUAAACAAAAUAAUAAAUAAUAAUAAAAAAUAAUGUUCCUGCGUGAAGCUGCAGAUUUGGUUCAUUGAGAGGAAAAAUAAAAUAUGAAGCCGCAGAUUUUCUCUUAAUUUCAUCAACAACAAAAAAAUCUUUAUUUUCUUUAAAUAAUAACAAUACUAAUGAUCGUUGUUGUGGCUCUGUGUGUGUGUGUGUGUGUGUGUGUGUGUGUGUGUGGGAUUAAGAGUCACUGAUCCUCUGAGUCUCAGCUUUUAUUCUGCAUUUCUUUUUUCUUUCUUUCUUUUUUGUCUGUCGGGAGCUCAACGAGACUCCAGCCGCACUUCAUUAACCCUGAGCCGGGGACAAUCCGCGCGGAGAGCCGGGGGAUUUAUUUACCCAGCAGCCUUUUCACAUGCAAACAAGACACACACACACACACACACGCUCGCUCGCUCGCUCGCUCGCUCUUGUUUCCACGGGAAAAGCCUCGUCGUUACGUGGAUCGGUCACGGAUCCUCGUGAUGAGACUCUAAUGAUCUUUUGAGCACGUGUUAUUUACGUCACUUUCUCUCUCUUUCUCUUCCUAAUGCGAUUUUCCGCGUGGUAAACGCGACAGUUCCACUUCCAGGCCCCCGUCACUGUCACUCUGAUCCGUCACGCGGCGUGGAGGGAGGCCCCCACGCAAUAACAGGUGCCAUGCGCGGGCGACAGCAGGGGGAGCUGGCGAUCAAACCCCCCAUUAUCGACUUUCAAUUAAAACCUAUUAAAGUCUUUUGUCUAAUCGUUAACAUCCUACACGCCAAGUCGUGUCCGUCAGUC